rnacentral:lncRNA from 1 species
AUAACUGCUAUUUCCACCAAUAUAUUCACCCUCAUAAUCUCCAACUGUAAUACUGCACCUUCACAGCUUUCAGCACACAAUUAUCCUCGUUCCAAUCUCUGGAAUUCUUCACACAGAACUGCCAUUCACAUUACAGUGUUUCACACAAACAUAGACUUAUUCUCUUUGCUAAACUACAAUCAGAUUUCAGCAUUCAAUCUUUCUUCUUCUCAAAUAAUACCAAUCACAUUUCUAUUCCAUAAUUCACUUCAUAAUAUUCAGAAACUUUCAAUCCUCUUAUUCAAAGAAAAUAACAAACAAAAGAAAAGAGGUAGCACCAAGCUUAUCCCGGCUCACAACUCUCACAGU